UUUCCGUAGGUGAACCUGCGGAAGGAUCAUUAAAAAUGAAGCCGGGAAACCGGUCCUUCUCACCCUUGAUUAUCUCAAAUUGUUGCUAGUGUGGGCCGCGCAAGCACCGGCUUCGCCUGGAUUGUGCCCGCCAGAGGACCACAACUCUGUAUUAUAUGUCGUCUGAGUACUAUAAAAUAGUUAAGACGCUCAACAACGAAUCUCUUGGUUCUAGCAUCGAUUAAGUAC
rnacentral:misc_RNA from 1 species